AGGUAGUUCAGAAAAUGAGGUUUGUCACCAUUCCACCUCCACACCUUUCUAACGACAGAACCAUCAUGUAUGUUUGUUGGAUGUCCUAAAUAUUACAACCCCAAGAUGGCAAACCCCUACCUACAAUGAAACUUUGUAUUUGGGAAGAUAACUUUAAGAAGGAAAAGAUGCUGCUAUUUGGGGAAACAUUAAAACCAGAAUAAAAAUUGGAAGUAAAAAUGAACGUAACCUCAUAUUUCCUAAAUCAGAUGUAAGUGCUACCUUGUUGGCAUGUGCAUGACCUCUCAUUCUGUCUUCAGUGUUCAUCAUUUGUAGCUUUGCCUUUUAAAUCCUGAUUAUAGACAUUCUGCUCUUUGAGGGAUAGGAGUAUAAAUGUGAACAUUUGAAAAAUGUGGAUUUCCAAGCAAAGUAUACUGCACAUAAUAGAUCAAAAUUAUUUAUUAAGAUGAAUGAGCCAGGCAUGGUGGCAUGCACCUGUGGUCUCAGCUACUAAGGAGGCUGAGGUAAGAGGCUUGCUUGAACCUGGGAGAUUAAGGUUUCAGCGAGUUGUGAUCAGGGUUGGGCACCAGCCUGGUCAACAAAGACUCUGGCUCUAAAUAAAUAAACAAACAAACAAAUAAAUAAAAUAAAUAGUACUUGGUAAAGAGUAUUUACUCAUAUUCUUUAAAUCUCGACUCAUUUUUUACUCUCUACCAUAUUUAAUUAAAAUGAAAAAAUAAAACCUCAUCUUUUAGUCUCCUGUUUUCUUCAUAGAUAAUUUAUAAAUAUGUGUGUAUAAGAAUCAUUGUUUUGUGAUUCUGACUGCCAGUCUCCAUGUUAAAUUAAGCAAAAAGCUGUCCUGCUGUGCACAUGAGUUGCAGGUGCAUAAAUUCAGUGCUUAAAUAAAUGUAAGGGAAUUAGCGAUACCCAGUGGUUUAUUUGAGGUAUGUGCACUUUCCUAUCGGGUUUGAAAUACGAUGUAAUGGCACUCAAUUAAGAAUGUAGAUUUUGAAAAGCCAAAUUCAGAAAGAAUUUAUAUAACUCCUUGAGACAAAAUAAAUUUACAAGAGUCUAGUCUCAUGAGGAACAAAUACUCAUUUUCAUCCAUCUUUCCACAUUAUUUACUUUGAUAGUAUCAUCUUUUUCAUUAUGGAUGAUACCAAUCCUACUCCUU
rnacentral:lncRNA from 10 species